UACGGGGGGGCAAGCGUUGUUCGGAAUUACUGGGCGUAAAGGGCUCGUAGGCGGCCAACUAAGUCAGACGUGAAAUCCCUCGGCUUAACCGGGGAACUGCGUCUGAUACUGGAUGGCUCGAGUUUGGGAGAGGGAUGCGGAAUUCCAGGUGUAGCGGUGAAAUGCGUAGAUAUCUGGAGGAACACCGGUGGCGAAGGCGGCAUCCUGGACCAACACUGACGCUGAGGAGCGAAAAAAGCCAGGGGGGAGCAAACGGG
rnacentral:rRNA from 1 species